rnacentral:rRNA from 1 species
UACGUAGGGGGCAAGCGUUUGUCCGGAAUCAUUGGGCGUAAAGAGCGUGUAGGCGGCCAGGUAGGUCCGUUGUGAAAACUCGAGGCUCAACCUCGAGACGUCGAUGGAAACCAUCUGGCUAGAGUCCGGAAGAGGAGAGUGGAAUUCCUGGUGUAGCGGUGAAAUGCGCAGAUAUCAGGAAGAACACCCGUGGCGAAGGCGGCUCUCUGGGACGGUACUGACGCUGAGACGCGAAAGCGUGGGGAGCGAACAGG